AGUAAUACGGGAAAAAAAUAAAUUUCAGGCGAAAAACGAAGUUAGACCGAGAAACGGUCUUCUACCUGUUAAUGGCGACACAGCUCUUUUCCGAUCUCUGUUAUUCGGAGCUCUCUUCCGUCUCACUAUAUUCUCAGGAUUCCAGAAGUUGAGAAGUGGCAGUAAGUAAAAGGGAGAGACAUAGGUGAUGUCUUUCGACAGGGGUGGGAAGCAAUGGAAAUGUGGAAAAGGUGGCACUGUGAAUUUUCAAAGAGUGAGCUCAAUUGUCCGAGACAUUGGAGAGCCAUGUCUUCAUCAGUCACCUAUAAAGAUAAAGAAAAUGCUCAAGCCAGACAGGUGGCAAGCAACUUUUGAUAGUGAUGGAAAGAUACAUGAUUUUCAGAAAGUUCUGAAAUUGAUCAUUUUUGGGGGUGUCGAUCCAUCUAUAAGACCGGAAGUUUGGGAAUUUCUUUUGGGCUGUUACGCCCUAAGCAGCACAACAGAGUAUCGAAUGCAACUGAGGACUGCUCGGAGGGAACGCUAUAGAGACCUUGAAAAGCUGUGCCAAAGAAUGCAUUCCAGCAUUGGGACUGGUACCCUUGCUUAUGUUGUAGGGUCCAAAGUUAUGGAUAUGAGAACAAGUUCUAGAGGGGAUAGAAGAAGGGAAACAGAAGUUGAAAAUGCUCAAGCUUUCAGUGUUGAUACUAACAAAUUAGGCAGUUACACUGAUCAGGACAACAAUUUUACAAAUGCAUCAAAUGCAGGGGAAAUCUUUAGUGAUCCUGGUGACCUUGUAAGUGUGAGGAGAAGCACAGAUGGUGCAGCAUGUGACUCUUUCAGUUCUUUGCCUACUCCUGGUCCAUAUAGUUGUAGUUCCCCCAUAGUUGAUUCAGAAGCACAUGGAUCAGAAUAUGUAACUGGAAAUGAUUUUGACUUCCCUCCUUUGCCCGUGACAGAUUUGUUUGAGAAGAAUAGCAAAAAUAAGAAACUAUACAGGUCACAUGACAGUAGAUAUAUACGGCGUAAAUUGCGAUAUGGAGAUGAACGUAUGCACAGCUUUAGCAUACAAAAUAAUGCUGAUCUAGUCAUUGAAUCAAAUGUUACCCAAUCUUAUGAUUCCUUGCCUUCACUGAAAUCUGAAAUUGAAAUAGUUUGUCCUGAUGUGACUGAUUCCAUUUCACAAUCUAAAAAAGUGGAGCAUAAAAUGGAUAUCUAUGACAGGAUUAGAAUUUCUGAUGCACCUGAUACAGCAGAUACGAAUGUGACUACAUCUGAAGGAGGUGCUUUUAAUGAAGAAAGAGUGUCUGAAUGGCUCUGGACGCUUCAUCGAAUAGUUGUUGAUGUAGUUAGAACGGACAGUCAUCUUGAAUUUUAUGGGGAUACAAAAAAUUUGGCUAGGAUGUCAGACAUACUUGCUGUCUAUGCAUGGGUUGAUCCUGCAACAGGAUAUUGCCAAGGAAUGAGUGAUUUGCUUUCUCCUUUUGUUGUUCUUUUUGAGGAUAAUGCUGAUGCUUUUUGGUGCUUUGAAAUGCUUAUACGAAGAACGCAUGAUAAUUUCCAGAUGGAAGGCCCAACUGGUGUCAUGAAGCAGUUGCAAACACUAUGGCAUAUCUUGGAAUUUACCGACCGAGAAAUGUUUUCUCACCUGUCAAAUAUAGGUGCCGAGAGCCUUCAUUUUGCCUUCCGGAUGCUGCUGGUACUCUUUCGUCGGGAGUUAUCGUUUGAUGAGGCUCUUUGUUUGUGGGAGAUGAUGUGGGCUGCUGAUUUUAAAAAAUCUAUGCCUUGCAAUCUAAAGAACUGUCCAGAAUUGUUGGUCAUCCAGAUUCCAAAGGAACUAGAUGUUGAAUUAGGAAAAGGAAGUGUUGAUAAUAAAAGUAAAGAUUCAAAUGAAUCACCCUCAAAACAUGGAAAUGUGGAACAUGCCAUCUCUGAGAACACUGAAAUUAAGUCACCUUUGGCUCAUCCAUUUUGUGGUUUGACUAGAAAUUUCUGGUCAAAAACUGAACACAUACAGAAUAGUGCUGCUGUGUCAUCGAUGUGGAGUGGUGAUGAUGAGCUUCCAGUUUUUUGUGUGGCAGCUAUACUAGUUAUGAACCGCCAAAAGAUUAUUAAAGAAACCCGUUCAUUUGAUGAUAUGAUAAAGAUAUUUAACGACAAUGCGAUAAAGAUUCGGGUGAAGAGAUGUGUGCGUACGGCCAUCAAACUGCGGAAGAAGUAUUUUUUCAAGCUGAUCAAAAGCAGAAGCCCAGUAGCUCAAAAUGGAGACUGAGGGUUUGCCAUCUUGGAUGGCAAAGGCAAGUCACAUUCAUAAUCCUUGUGACACUUUUGAAGUUGAGUUUAUAUUGGAGAUCUAAGUGAAAACUGCUAGAUGCAUGAGGAUUCAUCCCUCUUUUAGUACUCAAAGCCAACCACUUCUCUUCCAGGGUCAAUAUGCAAGAAGCAUGCUUUGCUUACUCAGACUAGCACAUGAAUAUGUUUUGCAGGAAAAAGGAAUAUUAACAUCAUCAGCAAACAUUUUUGCGGAUCGGGGAGAAAGGGGGAGGGGGAAGUAGGAAAAAACAAAAGGGUCUUCAUAUUAUCGCUCUUGGCAUUCUGCAUUUUCCUUAAUCAGUGUCAUAACAAUGUUCUCAUUCAUUGGUGAGAUUAUAUUUACCUUUGUUGAAUUGCCAAUUAAUUGCAAAGAAUUCAUUUUUUUCAGAACCAUGUGGGCUAUAGUAAAUAUUUGCAAGUAUGCAUUCUCUUCUAGUGUGAAAUAAACUUGUGCAUAAAUUAGGACCACCCAUUCUUUUUAAUGGGAUCUGUUCUCUAAAAUUAUUCGAGGCUUAGGCUCGUGCAGGAUCCGGUUUGCCCUUGUAGUUGAAGUCAUACGGGUGGUGGAGAAUGUAAUAAUUGUGAGAAUCAUAAAACCUUUAAAUUUGUUAUAUACGAGAAUUUCGUGCA